UUCAACAACUUGUAACAGUAACACACAUGAGGAGAGCUUCAAUGGGUCUCACAUGUUUUUAGAACAUUCAAACAAUCUAAAAUACGUCAUAACAUUCUAGUUCCUUCCGCCAGCAGAGGUGAUGUAAUCCUCAUAGUUUCUUUGUCUGUCUGUCUGUCCGUCUGUUGGUCUGUCUGUUCACAAAAAAACUCCCAAACUAAGCCGCAGAUUGUGACCAAGUUUUCACCGAAUAUCCACAACGACUUCAACUAGAAGUGAUGACAUUUUGGGGGAGAUCUGGCAAAGAUCAUGGAUUCUGGACUGCGUUGAAGUUUCCAGUGCACUGACUCUGUCUCUGUGUAAUACCUACAUUGACCAGCAGAGUGCAGCAGAGCUCUGUGACACUCCAGCACAGGUGACCUUGGUCGGCAUGGUGACAGUGACCUUACAGGCAGGAUUCUAAAAAGUUUGCCAAGAUUGCAAAGAAAAACUGCCAGAACGUCACACACGAUAACAAAACCCAAGGGAUCAUGGGAAAAAGUCAGUGGGGCUUGAAAAAAAAUCCGACUCCAAGGACGCAGACUCACCAGGCUUGAGGACUUCAUCAGGCUGUACAAAGCUACCCACAAUGCCCUGCUGAGAGAGCAUGAAGACUCGAAGCGUCCCACAAAAAGAAAAGUCAGACAGUCAGCAGCAUGUAGCAGGAUAGAUCUACUGUGAAAUCUAAACAUUCAAAUAUAGUGAUAUCAUUGUAAAUCAAUGUGGUAAAUAUGUUACUUUAAAUGCACAAUAUCUCACAUAAUAUCACAUAUUCUAAAAUAUUUUAUAAGGAGUACCGCGUCCCGAUGGAGAGAUGGAGGCAGCGGAAAAUGAACAAGAGAGGAAUCUACGUGACUUCCAUAAAAAAACCAUUCCGCUACAAACAAGCGGUACAAUAAAGAUCCUCACCAAGCAGCUGCAUUAUGACCAGUUUAUCAGGACAGUGUUAGUUUUGAAUGUUUUCUCCGCAUCGUUCCAGAAGACAACACCUCAUGUGACUGCAGCUCAAAAUCAAGAUCACCAAACUACAGACAGUUUGAAGGGGAGGUUAUUCUGAUUCCCUUUUUGGAUCAUUCUUUUCCUGAACCUUGUGUAUGUAUCAAACCCCUUGUGGGGGCCCCACAGGUUCUGAACAUCCGGAGGUUUGGUGUUGGCUCCACAUUUGCCGUCCACUCCCAUGACAUGAACUCAUCUCUGCCUCCCAGAGGAAAAAAAAGGACAAGAGCCAACAGUCCUGUGAGGAACAUCCCAGGUCAGCAGAGACAUGGAGGCAGCCUGCGUCUGACUGUGGGACCUGCCUGCAGAAAACUAACAAGCUUUGCAGAAUCAGGGGAGGCUGCUGUGGAGGAACAGGGAAUGUGAGGUGGUGGUCGGAGUGAUUCCCUCACAGCCUGAAGGACACAACAUCCUCAUCCACCACUCGGAGCUGUGCUCUCUGAGGCCACAGCAGCGGCUGACAGGGGAGGGAUGUGUUCACUUUGCAAAUGGUCCUUUUAAAGUGUUUUGUAGAUCAGACUGUAUAACACAGGCUGAUGGAAUUCACCCCGUUUGAGACUGUUUAUGUUUAUUAACUGAUGAUUCAGUGUUUUGUCUAUCAGGUAACUGAGGGCCUCCUCCAUGUUUCUGUGCUCAUUCAGCCUGAUGGACACAGUGUAGCAAGGAGCCACCACACCGCAGGCUGUGUCCUGUUUG